rnacentral:tRNA from 1 species
CAGAGAGUAAUUUAAAUAAAAUCCCGUCUUUGGGAGACAGAAAUCCAGCCCUGGCUCUCUGA